rnacentral:rRNA from 1 species
UACAGAGGAUGCAAGCGUUAUCCGGAAUGAUUGGGCGUAAAGCGUCUGUAGGUGGCUUUUUAAGUCCGCCGUCAAAUCCAGGGCUCAACUCUGGACAGGCGGUGGAAACUACCAAGCUGGAGUACGGUAGGGGCAGAGGGAAUUUCCGGUGGAGAGGUGAAAUGCGUAGAGAUCGGAAAGAACACCAACGGCGAAAGCAAUCUGCUGGGCCGACACUGACACUGAGAGACGAAAGCUAGGGGAGCGAAUGGG